CGCAAGCCUGACGGAGCAACGCCGCGUGAGGGAUGGAGGCCUUUGGGCUGUAAACCUCUUUUCUCAAGGAAGAAGAUCUGACGGUACUUGAGGAAUAAGCCACGGCUAAUUCCGUGCCAGCAGCCGCGGUAAUACGGGAGUGGCAAGCGUUAUCCGGAAUUAUUGGGCGUAAAGCGUCCGCAGGCGGCCGUUUAAGUCUGUUGUUAAAUCGUGGAGCUCAACUCCAUCACGGCAAUGGAAACUGUUCGGCUUGAGUAUGGUAGGGGCAGAGGGAAUUUCCGGUGUAGCGGUGAAAUGCGUAGAUAUCGGGAAGAACACCAGUGGCAAAAGCGCUCUGCUGGGCCAUUACUGACGCUCAUGGACGAAAGCCAGGGGAGCGAAAGGGAUUAGAUACCCCUGUAGUCCUGGCCGUAAACGAUGAACACUAGAUGUUGGGGGAAUCGACCCCCUCGGUGUCGUAGCUAACGCGUUAAGUGUUCCGCCUGGGGAGUACGCACGCAAGUGUGAAACUCAAAGGAAUUGACGGGGGCCCGCACAAGCGGUGGAGUAUGUGGUUUAAUUCGAUGCAACGCGAAGAACCUUACCAAGGCUUGACAUCCUGCGAAUCUCCAAGAAAUUGGAGAGUGCCUUUUGGAACGCAGUGACAGGUGGUGCAUGGCUGUCGUCAGCUCGUGUCGUGAGAUGUUGGGUUAAGUCCCGCAACGAGCGCAACCCACGUUUUUAGUUGCCAGCAUUCAGUUGGGCACUCUAGAAAGACUGCCGGUGACAAACCGGAGGAAGGUGUGGACGACGUCAAGUCAUCAUGCCCCUUACGCCUUGGGCUACACACGUACUACAAUGCUGCGGACAAAGAGUAGCGAUCUUGCGAAAGUUAACUAAUCUCGUAAACCGCGGCUCAGUUCAGAUCGUAGGCUGCAACUCGCCUACGUGAAGGAGGAAUCGCUAGUAAUCGCAGGUCAGCAUACUGCGGUGAAUACGUUCCCGGGCCUUGUACACACCGCCCGUCACACCAUGGAAGUUGGCCAUGCCCGAAGUCGUUACUCUAACCUUUUGGAAGAGGGCGCCGAAGGCAGGGCUAAUGACUGGGGUGAAGUCGUAACAAGGUAGCCGUAGCGGAAGCUGCGGCUGGAUCACCUCCUAA
rnacentral:rRNA from 1 species